ACACUAGCAGAGAUAUUGAACUCUUGUACUUUCCAUGCCUUUAGGGCACAUCACCCAGAUUGCCUGCUAUUCCAGAAAUGUAGAAAGGAACUCCGUAAAAUGCUGUUGAAGAUCACAACACGAACGAGCAGAUGUACACAGAGCAAAGAAGAGGAUCAAAGAAAAAUACUUUUUCAGGUCAGCCAGAGGAUCCAGCCUGCUACAGCACUUUUCCUGACAGAAGCCCAACUCCCCUUCCUAUUGGCUGACAGGAUCAUGUGACCGGACUCUGGCCAUUUUUCUGAGCCAAUCAGACGGAGGAUGCCUCUGGCUGGGUGGGAGAGUGGAAGUGCUAUCUCUCUUCCUCCCUCUGUUUCUGUGGCGCUGUCUGACAGGAGAAUGGUGGUUGGCCGGGAAUAGGCGUAGACCAGCCGACCUGCUGAUUCUGGAGAACGGACCGCGAGAGAGAAUGUCACGUUCGUAUUUUGUUUUGUUGUUUGUCGGUGUUCAUUAAAGAAAUAAAUAGAAUGAACACAUACGACACUGCACUUUGGAACACUUCUUCCCAUGACGAUCGUGACAGAACAACCCACCACAAACGGACCAAGUGGCGUGGCCGGGAGGAGCAGACAGAGUGGACAUGGGAAGACAUUCUGGAAGGAAAGGGAUCCUGGACGUGGGAGGAGAUCCUGGCUGGAAAGGAUCGCCUGCCGUGGAAGCAGGUGGACGCAGCGAGGAAGGCGGAAGCAGCUAGUAAAGGGGCCCAGCGUUACACAGGGUCACGGCUGGCAAGGAAGACCGGGAGGCCACUCCCCCAAUUUUUUGGGUGGUACUGGUCAGGCACCGUGUUAUGCGGUGAAGCGCAUGGUGUCUCCAGUGCGCGUUCACAGCCCGGUGCGCUCUGAGCCAGCUCUCCGCAUGUGUCGUGCUAGAGGGGGCAUCCAGCCAGGACGGAUUGUGCCAGCACAGCGCUCCUGGUCUCCGGUGCGCCUCUUCGGCCCAGGACAUCCU